GAUGAACGCUAGCGGCAGGCUUAACACAUGCAAGUCGAGGGGUAUUGGAGGCUUGCUUCCAAGAGACCGGCGCACGGGUGCGUAACGCGUAUGCAACCUACCUUGAACGGGGGAUAGCCCAGAGAAAUUUGGAUUAAUACCCCAUGGUAUUAUUGGAUGGCAUCAUUUGAUAAUUAAAGUUCCAACGGUUCAAGACGGGC
rnacentral:rRNA from 1 species